rnacentral:lncRNA from 1 species
GCAUACGGAGGUUCCCAGGCUAGGGGUCAAAUUGGAGCUAUAGCUGCCAGCCUGUGCCACAGCCAGAGCAACGCCAGAUCCAAGCCACGUCUGUGACCUACACCACAGCUCACGGCAACACCGUAUCCUUAACCCAAUGAGCGAGGGCAGGGAUUUGAACCCAUAACCUCACGGUUCCUAGUCGGAUUCAUUUCUGCUGCACCACGAUGGGAACUCCUGAUUCUAAAGAAAUCAAAUCUUGGCAACUAUGAUAAAUGUGAUACAACCUGAGAUUCAAAAUUGAAAUUCAUUUAAUUAAAAAUUAAAAUCUUUUCAACAAGGUAUGAGCAAAAUUUUUGAAGACCAAUGGGCUAGACCAAAAUGACAAGUAAGUUCUCAGGCCCCAUUUAUGGAAUUUUCAAGCUGAGUUUAUAUGUAGGGAAGAUCUGGUAUUUCUAUUGGCACCUUACCUGGAGAAUGACUAACAAAGCGUCUGAUCUUGGUAACCUGUUCCUAAAAUCAUUAAAAUUUCAUAUUGAUUUAAAACAUUUAUCUGUAGAAAUGACUGGUGAAUAAAAAAGAACAUGUAGAAACACAAAGGUCUCCAGAAUCACAAGGGCAAUUCAGCCCUCUCUGAUAUAUGACUCACGACACUGAUCCAUUAACGGAAACUCCUGUUAUGAAACAGUGCUUAGUACAGCACUGGCACAGUGUGGACCCACAGCAAAUGCUUUUUUGAAUGAAUAAAGAAUCCUGGACUGUGGAUAAAAAAUUUGAUAAUUUUUUCCUCCAUCAUAAGACAUACACGCAGGAACUUAACGCAUGAGCGCGUGCGCAUACGCACACACAUAUCCUUGGGUAUAACUACAAAGACCCCAUCAGAAAUUUGACUUUCAUUUUCAACAUGUCAAAAAUUAUAUAUGUGUAUAUAUGUAUGUACACACACACACACACACACACAUACAUAUGACUUUUUCUUAUAUUCUAGGCAUAGGAAAAUUCUUCUUCGAAUAGAAUUAUUGUUUUAAUAAAACUUGUCUGCUUCAGAGAUCACAUUGCCUUUCCAAAUUCAGCUUCAGAAAAUACUGAAAGACUGAGAAUUACCAAAUUCUACUAUUUUGUUUACAUCUGGAAUGAAUAUUUAAGUUACGUGCUUAUUAAUGUGGUUACGCUACCCCUUAAUUCUCCAUAACUAUUUUUUUUCACUAGAUGUUGUUUUAAAAUACCAUAAGAAUUAAUUGACUUGUAUUAUACCAAACAUUUGUGUAAGACAGAGGCCUCGCUGUGUAACAAUUUAUUUUUCGGUAUUCCAAACAUUCCCACAUGGUUAACUCCAUCUGUAACUACCAUGAUGCUAAUGGGCUGCUUCUUCCUCAGCCUUUACUUACUAUCCAAAAUUAAUGUUUGUAAAUGAGUUUUAAAAAAAGAAACAGGAAACUAUGUAGGAUGCACAUAAAAGGAAAUUUCUUCCUCUUGUCUUCUUUUACAUACAAUGUGUGUACUGUCUGGUAUUCUGGAGUUCCAGGAACUCACUGGCUAGAUCCUUUUGCAAUUCAGCAGAAAGAUGAUAAUGAAGCUUAUCGUAAUAACCCUGAACUAUUAGGGUUGUUGAUUCAACAAAGAAAAAUUAUAUUUUGUUUGGUAUAGACUUAAUGUCAAAGGUAUUUACUUGAAUUCUAAUGUUUGGAAAUUUAAUUAUCUGCAAAAUAUGUACAGCUACUAUUAAUCAGGAGACUUGAUUAAACAGAACACUGAUUAUCUGAUGAAGAGAAUAAGGCAAAAGUAGGGAUAAUAAAAGACUCACAAAUGGAUUCUUUUCAUGUAUCUGUGAAUCCAAAGAGCUACAUCUUACGAGAGCGAGAGCACACACAGUGAUCAGUGACAUUCCUACAUACAUAUGUGUUUAUGUUUAUAACUGCAUCUAUCACUCUACUUACAUAAUAGAUGUAUGUUCUGGUUGCAGUCAUAUCUAUAUUUCUUAGGCAAUCAUCUAGGAUUCAUGUUCUGCCUUUGAAUACCAUUUAUUAUUUUUCUCCUUUCGCUGCUAUUGUUCCUCUGCCUGUCUCAAACUAGAAGCAGGUAGCGAGUUGGGGGGGUUGGGAAAGCAAGUCCUUGCCCCGGCUUUGUCAACAACUAGCUCUAUUACCUUCAUCAAGUGAGUUUAUGCUUACACUUCACACUUCUCAUCUAAAAGUGUGUCAGACUAUGGGAGUCUGGGGUUAAUAGAUGCAAACUAUUGCAUUUGGAGUGGUAAGCAAUGAGAGCCUGCUAUAUAGCACAGGGAAAUAUACCUAGUCACUCGUGAUGGAACAUAAUGGAGGAUAAUGUGAGAAAAAUGUAUGUGUGACUGGGCCACUUUGUUGUACAGGAGAAACUGACAGAACACAGUAAAUCACCAUAAUGGAAAAAAUAAAAAUCAUAAAAUAGGGUGUGAGACUAGAUCAUUGAGGGGUUUAAUUUUUUGAAAUGCAGUUGUAUCUUCAAAAAACUUUAUCUUAAAAAAAAAAAAAAAAAAACUUACACCAAACCCUGAAAUGGAAGGCAGGUAAUAGAAAAAUAGCUCUGGGUUCUAGACUAAGUCUAGAGCCCUGCCCUCUCAGCAGCACAUAGGAUACAUUUGUGAAGUCCUAAAAACAUGGUUUUAGAACAACCAGACUAGAUUUUUUUCCAAGUUUUCCAUCAUUCUUAAAUAUUGUGAUUUAGGAUAACAUGCAAAUCAGUUAUUAAAGACUUGAAAAGGAAAGUGGUUGAAGAAAUGAUGAAAGUUGAAUUUUACAUCCACUGUAGAUUUCUUUUAGUCAUACCUGACAAUACUUCUCAGAACACACAACUGAAAAUACUUGAUCUCCGUCACCACUAGUUCUGGACACAGUUGUGUAAUCAAAUGCUCUUUACUUAUGGGUUAAAAUAAUAUCAUGUCUAUGUAUUAUUGAAUAAUAUAUUCUAUUUUCUCAUUUAUUAAGUGAGGAAACUAGAUUAGAUGGCUUCCAAGGCCUUUUCAAAGACUAAUAUUCAAUGUUUCUGCAUCCAUAAUAAAGUUUGCCAGAUUUAAAUAUAGAUUAAUUGACCAAGAUAGUUUUCAUUUAAAUAAGUUUUAAGUAAAUCCGUAUUUAAAUAAAAUUCAACUACAGUGAAUUUUAGUAAGAACUUUCCUAUAGCCGAUGAUUCACACAAUCCUGUAUAUUUUCUUUCACCUCUACUCUUUCUUUCUUGAGUCUAUUUUACCACAUUAGAUUAACCAAACUUCAGUAAUUUCACUCAUCUCCACAUGCUAAACUGUCUUACCAUUGAUGAAACUUACCUCUUCUUGCAAGUACAUUCUUUUUAAAACGGUCUCAUUCUAAAAUCUUAGAGAAGCUUUCUAUACCAUCACUUCAGCUGAUUGUAAAAGCAUCCACAAAAGUAAUCCUUCCCAGUGAACAUGCUUCUUGAAAUACGACUUUGCUAUAAUUCUCAUCAAGAGGUUAGCAUCCAUCUUCUGACUCGAUUCUGGCCUGGUGUUAGGUCAUGCUUGUGUUUGUAGAAUGUAGCAGAUGUGAUGUUGUACCAGUUUCAAGCCUAGGCUUCUCAGAUGUCUUGUUUGUUUCUGCUCUCUCGGAACUCUGCCACCAACAUAUGAUCAAACCUGGACCAGCCUGAUGGAUAAUAAGACACACGCAGCCUAGUUACCUUCAUCUCCCCAACCUUCAUCUCUCCAGGCAGCCAGUUGACAUGAAUGAGGCCUUCCUAGACCAGGGAGGCCCCAGCCUACCUGCUAGCACAUUAUAGAGCAAGAAUAAGUCAAGCCAUGAUCAGCCAAUACUAUCCUCUUUACCUGAUUCAUGAGUAACUACGAAAGGCUAUCAUCUUAUGCUAACCAGUUUGGAGUGAUUUGUUAUGCAGAAACAUCUAAAACCCACUUCCACUGUCUAAUUUCCUAUACCAAACAACUUUGAGCUAAUAUAAAAAGAUUCUGCUGAUCUCUGCAUAGUCUUCAUAGUCUCCACUUCAUUGCCCCUCAGCUGUCUUCAAAAUGCUCUAUCCAUGUCAAUGAGAGAGGUAAAGAUUUGCCAAGAAAUACGUGGAACUAGAUAAUUUAAAGGGAAUCCUCUCCCACAUCCUCCAGGCCCAUGGGUGCCUCUUCCUCAAACUCACCUGCCCGAGAAUGCUGCUGUGAUCAAGGCAUCAUUCUGUUUUAUGUUUUUGUUUUUGUUUUUUUUUCUUUUCCCAUGUUUUCACAAGAUGCCAAUUCAAAAUAUUGGUUUUGGGAAAACAUUUUUAUGAGAUAGUUUUUUUCCAAAAUAUUUUAGGGGAUAUAUAUGCAAAGAUGUUUCAAAACCACCGCAUCAUUGCCAAGUGCACUUCCUAGCAUGCAAAUGGGACCACCUUUCUCUUUAGUUUAAUGUACUUCAACGGCCUCUCAUUAUUCAUAGGCUAAAAC